UGGGUUGUAGACUAAUUAGGUAAGUCAUCAAUUUUUGAUAUUGAGUUAUGGGAGUUCGAGCCUUCCCAACCCAG
rnacentral:tRNA from 1 species